rnacentral:rRNA from 1 species
GAUGAACGCUGGCGGCGUGCCUAAUACAUGCAAGUCGAGCGAACAGACGAGAGUGCUUGCACUCUCUGACGUUAGCGGCGGACGGGUGAGUAACACGUGGGUAACCUACCUAUAAGACUGGGAUAACUUCGGGAAACCGGAGCUAAUACCGGAUAAUAUUUAGCUUCGCAUGAAGCAAUAGUGAAAGACGGUUCUGCUGUCACUUAUAGAUGGACCCGCGGUGUAUUAGCUAGUUGGUGAGGUAACGGCUCACCAAGGCAAUGAUACAUAGCCGACCUGAGAGGGUGAUCGGCCACACUGGGACUGAGACACGGACCAGACUCCUACGGGAGGCAGCAGUAGGGAAUCUUCCGCAAUGGACGAAAGUCUGACGGAGCAAUGCCGCGUGAGUGAAGAAGGUUUUCGGAUCGUAAAACUCUGUUGUAAGGGAAGAACAAGUACGUUAGUAACUGAACGUACCUUGACGGUACCUUACCAGAAAGCCACGGCUAACUACGUG